rnacentral:ncRNA from 1 species
UUAAAUGCAGUGAUUGGGAAUAGUACAAUGGGAUACUGCUUAAAUAAGCUUGAUAGUUAAGCUUACAUUCAGAGAGGGAAAUCAAUAGCUGAGAGAUUUCCUAAGAGUGAACAUUGGAAGGUCGCCCAUGAGUAGCUUCUGUGAAACAUAAAUUGGAGUAAUUGAAGCCGGUGAAAAGCCGUUAUCAUAGUUAAGUGCCAGGCUUUAGUGUAUGUAAUAGCUAUUGUCUGUGAAAAAAGGUGGUACCGCGAAAAUCGCUCCCUUCGUCCUUUUG